AAUUGAGUGGUGCGGUGGUAGCUUAUUGAUUAAACCUUUUAUGGCAUGUGGUUGUUGGGGGCAGAGAACAAAGGCUCAUUCUACCAGGAGCUUGAAACUUGUAGAGCACAAAGCCUUUCGCACCGACGAGACAAGCUAAAACCACCCUCUGCAAAACCGCUGUGGCAUAUACAUAGAUACGCAUAACACGAAUAUUUAUCGUACGCCUAGCUGAUUUUUAACGUACGCCCACAACUGGCAAAGUUUGGCAACUGAAAAAUCUGGAGGACCACUAUCUACAACAGAAGCUACUCUUGUCUUGCCGUACUAAAUAGCUGAGUGUGUUCAGAGUUGCAGGCGUUGAGAGAGAGAUAUUGAAAGAUAGGUUCUUUACCUUCUUCUUUGACCAAAAGCUUGCAGUAUAGUACUCUCGUAUUCACGUAGCAGUUUCUGAUUCAAACAAGGCUCAGACGGAGUGAGACGAACAACAAAUUGUGACGAUAUAGAAGACUUUUUUGGCAUUCUUGAAUUUUCUUUCUUUCUUUUUUUCUUUCAAAGUUGAAAGGGCCCCAGAGUUCUUCUGCCAAGAAUCAAACAUGGCAAAUCGCUGGUGGGCUGGAAAUGUUGCCAUGAGAGGUGUCGACCCAACAUCCCCAGUUCCGUCUCUUCACCUGAGAAACACAGAGGAAGAUAUUGCCGGUUUGAACCGGCUGGGUCCUAGAAGAGAACAAGAUUUUAUCGACACAAACACAACCAAUAGCACUAAUAGCGCUAAGACCUUGUCCACCUCCACCACCACCCCUACUCUAAACCAAAACCAAAACCAGGAAGAACCAGAAGACAGCAGAGACAACAACCAAGAAUCUGAAGAUCUUAAUACAGCUCUCGAAACCAUCGAACCAGGUAGCGGCAGCUCAUCCCGAAGGCCUAGAGGCCGGCCUCCGGGUUCAAAAAACAAACCAAAACCGCCCAUAGUGAUCACCAAGGAAAGUCCUAAUUCUCUUCGUAGUCAUGUCCUGGAAAUCAGCUCUGGCAGCGACAUCGCAGAGAGCAUUGCAACUUUUUCUCAACGCCGCCACCGAGGGGUUUCAAUCUUAAGUGGAAGUGGAGUAGUGACUAAUGUUACUCUUAGGCAACCUGCUGCACCUGGUGGGGUAAUCACUCUUCACGGAAGAUUCGAGAUUUUAUCAUUGUCGGGUUCAUUUCUUCCUGCUCCGUCACCUACGGGAGCAACGGGGCUGACUGUGUAUUUGGCUGGUGGGCAAGGGCAGGUGGUUGGAGGGUUGGUGGUGGGGGCGCUGGUGGCAGCAGGACCAGUGAUGGUGAUAGCGGCAACAUUUAGUAACGCAAUUUUUGAGAGAUUACCGCCGGAGGAACAAGAGCAGGAAGGCUCGCAAUUGCAGGAGCAAGUGAAUUCAGGGACUAAUAAUAAUAGCAAUACUGCUGUAGGUGGGGGUGGCGGCAGUGGUAAUAAUGAUAAUUCAGGUUCUCAAUCUUCUCAGCACAUGGGCGAGCAUGGUUCGAUGCCUGUCUACAAUUUGCCUCCUAAUUUGCUACCCAAUGGGCAAAUGCCACACGAGGUGUUUUGGUGUCCUCCUCGUCAUCCACCUCCCUCUUACUGAUGUGUCUGUGAGAAAGGGGGAGGGGCUAGAGUUGUUAGCUUUGGAUUAGCCAACCGAUAUGUGCAAAAAUGUACUGGAAAUUUUCAUGUAAGCAUCAUAUAACAAGGAAGAGAAUGUUGUAUUUUUUAUGCUGCAGGGAAAGAAGCAUAUUCAAGAACUCAAGUUGGUGCUAGCUAAUCCAAAUUUAUGGCCGGAAUAAUCAGCUAGGGAAACUCUUCUUUUUCUUUUUUUAUGGUAAGCAUGUCAAAGCUUAUCCUAUCGUGCUUCCUUUCUUUCAUGGAAUGGUUACGAUCUGUGAAGCAUGCUUAGAGAAUGUAUAUGUCCUCGAUGCAAUGUUUAGAUAACUAUGGAAAGUGGGGUUGAUUUUUACCCCUUUCGCUAAA